rnacentral:rRNA from 1 species
GUAGGGUGCGAGCGUUAAUCGGAAUUACUGDGCGUAAAGCGUWUWMWGCGUUUGUGCAGACAGAUGUGAAAUCCCCGGGCUUAACCUGGGAAUUGCAUUUGUGACUGCACGGCUAGAGUGUGUCAGAGGGGGGUAGAAUUCCACGUGUAGCAGUGAAAUGCGUAGAUAUGUGGAGGAAUACCGAUGGCGAAGGCAGCCCCCUGGGAUAACACUGACGCUCAUGCACGAAAGCGUGGGGAGCAAACAGGAUUAGAUACCCUGGUAGUCCACGCCCUAAACGAUGUCUACUAGUUGUCGGGUCUUAAUUGACUUGGUAACGCAGCUAACGCGUGAAGUAGACCGCCUGGGGAGUACGGUCGCAAGAUUA